rnacentral:rRNA from 1 species
ACAAAAACAUCUUUUCUUGUUAGUUUUUGAAGUAUGGCCUGCCCGCUGACUUGAGUGUUGAAGGGCCGCGGUAUUUUGACCGUGCAAAGGUAGCAUAAUCAUUAGUUCUUUAAUUGUGAUCUGGAAUGAAUGGCUUGACGAGGCACUGGCUGUCUUAGUGAUGAAUGUUUUAUUGAAUUUGGUCUUUGAGUUAAAAUUCUUAGAUGUUUUUAUGGGACGAGAAGACCCUAUAGAGUUUAACAUUUGGCUUAUUUAUUUAUGUUGUUUGUUUUGUUUUUGGUAAGUGGGCUUUUUGUUUUGUUGGGGUGAUGAGAGGAAUAUAGUUUAACUCCUCUUGGUUUUAGGUUAUAUUGAUUUAUAGUUGUUUGAUCCAUUUAUUUUGAUUGCAAGACUAAAUUACCUUAGGGAUAACAGCGUUAUCUUCCUUGAGAGUUCUUAUCGGCAGGGGGGUUUGCGACCUCGAUGUUGGAUUAAGGUGAAUUUUUGGUGUAGGAGCUGAAAGUUUAUUG